AACCGGAUUAGAUACCCUGGUAGUCCAUGCCGUAAACGAUGUCUACUAGCCGUUGGGGCCUUUGAGGCUUUAGUGGCGCAGCUAACGCGAUAAGUAGACCGCCUGGGGAGUACGGUCGCAAGACUAAAACUCAAAUGAAUUGACGGGGGCCCGCACAAGCGGUGGAGCAUGUGGUUUAAUUCGAUGCAACGCGAAGAACCUUACCUGGCCUUGACAUAGUAGAAACUUUCCAGAGAUGGAAAGGUGCCUUCGGGAAUCUACAUACAGGUGCUGCAUGGCUGUCGUCAGCUCGUGUCGUGAGAUGUUGGGUUAAGUCCCGCAACGAGCGCAACCCUUUUCCUUACUUGCCAGCAUUUCGGAUGGGAACUUUAAGGAUACUGCCAGUGACAAACUGGAGGAAGGCGGGGACGACGUCAAGUCAUCAUGGCCCUUACGGCCAGGGCUACACACGUGCUACAAUGGUUGGUACAAAGGGUUGCUACACAGCGAUGUGAUGCUAAUCUCAAAAAGCCGAUCGUAGUCCGGAUCGCAGUCUGCAACUCGACUGCGUGAAGUCGGAAUCGCUAGUAAUCGCGGAUCAGAAUGCCGCGGUGAAUACGUUCCCGGGCCUUGUACACACCGCCCGUCACACCAUGGGAGUUUGUUGCACCAGAAGUAGGUAGUCUAACCGCAAGGAGGACGCUUACCACAGUGUGGCCGAUGACUGGGGUGAAGUCGUAACAAGGUAGCC
rnacentral:rRNA from 1 species